GGGACUGUCAGCAAGAAAGAAACAAGAGAGCAUGUGAAUGAAAGACAGACUUGGGAAAGGCAAGAAGAAAGUUUGGUGGGUCUCGUGGAGCACAGAGGAGAGGAGAGCUGCUCCUUUCCAAGCAAGUGUGUGCAAGAGAGCGAGCCUUCUGCCAGGGGAAAGGUGGAAGCACGUGAGGAGGAUGAGUUAGGGGAUGGAGCGAGGGUUAAUGGAAAUCUCUGCCCAUUGCUGAAAGGGGCUGGGGGUUUUGUCUGUCCUCUGGGAGCUGGAUGUGACUGUGAGCGCUCCUGUGCUCAGGUCUGGGUUAUGCACUGCCUUGUGAAGGGGAUCAGGACCCCAGACCAAUCAAACCCACCCGGGGCUUCCCUGCUGGGCUGAACCCAGACCCUGUAAGCCGCUGGCACCUUGGAGCGUGUGAGAAAGCAAAUGCCAGAAGGAAACGCCACCCCAGCAUAGGUUACUACUAACAAGAGAGGCUCAGGAGCCAGGUUUGCAGUUUGUAAAAGCUCAGAGCACCAGCAUUGUCCUCACUUCCCUUGGACUGCAGACACCGGGAAACCUGCCUGUGGAAGGAAAAGUCCAAGAGUCAUAAAUCUGCUCUCCCGGCGAACCCCAGCAGGACUCUCUGUGAAUUCCCACAGCCUCGUUCUUUGUCAGCACCGGAGAAACUGGCAGCCUCAGGAGGUCAUCAUGAGAGUUUUUCUUUGAGGAAGAAACGCCUGCCAGCCUCUCACUUGGGAAGGCUGCAAAACUUUCUAGGGAAGGGAAAGGAGCAGCAGCCAUGGAACUGCACGUGUUGGUGCUAGAAUUCAUUCUCCUGCUGCCAGUGUCUUCGUUCACCCCUGGGAACACGCUACAGCCCCGUAUGCCAAACGUUUGUGCGGAGCAAGAGCUGGUGAUAGUGGGGCAUAGGCAGCCAUGUGUCCAAGCUUUCACUCGGAUGGUCAAAGUGUGGAAACCGGGCUGCGGAGGCCAGAUGUGGUGCACUGGCUAUGAACGGAGAACGGCGUACUACACGGACUACAGGCAGGUGUACAGCAUGGAGUACCAGACCGUGUACAAGUGCUGCCCGGGAUGGUCCCAGCUCGGAGGGGAUGCUGGCUGUCUCUACUCUGUCUGCAAUUACGGCGUGUGUUUCAAUGGAGGACACUGCAUGGAAGGAUCUUCUCAGCUCUGUCACUGUCCCUUUGGGUUCCAAGGACCCCGCUGUCAGUAUGAUGUCAACGAAUGCGAAGCUGGGAACGGGGGGUGCGAGUCCCAGUGCUGCAAUACUAUCGGCAGCUUCUACUGCAAGUGCCCCGAAGGGCGGCGGCUGAAGGGAGACGGGAAGGCGUGUGAAGAUGUCGACGAGUGCCAGGUUCAUAACGGGGGCUGCCAGCAGAGAUGUGUGAACACUCUGGGUUCCUAUUACUGCGAGUGCAAGCCAAGCUUUCGCCUGCACACGGAUGGCAGGACCUGCAUUGCUGUGAACACCUGUGCCAUCAGCAACGGUGGAUGUGAACACGACUGUGUGCAGCUGACCCUAACCCAGCAUCAGUGCCAGUGCCGGUACAAUUACCAGCUGACAGAGGAUGGCAAGCACUGUGUCCUGAGGAACCCAUGUGCUGAUCGGAACGGAGGCUGCAUGCACCAGUGCCAAAACCGCCGGGGAGUAGUUCACUGUGAGUGCCACCCUGGCUACAGACUGGCAGCGGAUGGCAAAAGCUGUGAAGAUCUGGAUGAAUGUGCGACCGGGCUGGCCAGGUGUGCGCACAGCUGUCUCAACACCCGUGGCUCCUUUAAAUGCACUUGUAACCCUGGCUAUGAGCUGGGGGAAGAUGGCAAGCAGUGCUACAGGAUAGAGAUGGAGAUUGUGAAUAGCUGUGAGGCCAAUAACGGUGGUUGUUCCCACCUCUGCAGUCACACUAGCUCCGGCCCUGUCUGCUCCUGUAACUUUGGUUAUCAGCUCGAUGAGGACCAGAAAACCUGCACUGAUAUCAAUGACUGUGAGGCCCAUUCUCAUUGCUGUCAGCAGGACUGUUACAAUUAUCCUGGUGGCUACGACUGCGUUUGCUAUGCUGGCUACAGGCUCAGCGCCGAUGGUUGUGGGUGCGAUGACGUGGAUGAGUGCUCCUCAAAUAAUGGGGAAUGUGAGCACACGUGCCAGAACGUGGUGGGGUCCUUCCAAUGCAGCUGCCAGACUGGAUACAAACUGGAUGAAGAUCGGAGGAGCUGUACUUCUCUAGAUGACUUUGUAGAAGCCGUGGAUGGACGACAUCCCAUCCUUCGCACCAUCCCUCACGUCGCCGUCCUGCGAGAUGAGUACACUCAGCUCCUGGAUGAAGAGUAUGAAGAGGAAGAGGUGGAAGCAAGAGGAGAGCAUACGCUUUCAGAAAAAUUUGUCUGCUUGGAGGAGACCUUCGGUCCCGACUGCAGCCUGACAUGUGACGAUUGCCGCAACGGCGGUACGUGCCGUGAGGACCGGACGGGCUGUGACUGUCCGGAGGGCUGGAGUGGAAUCCUAUGCAAUCAGACCUGCCCCGAAGGCAGCUCGCCCCCCCCCCCUGCCGCUGUAAGAAUGGAGGCUCGUGCGAUCCAGUGACUGGGAAGUGCCGCUGCCCGCCUGGGGUCAGUGGAGAACUGUGUGAGGAUGGCUGCCCUAAAGGGUUCUUUGGGAAACAAUGCAGGAAGAAAUGCAACUGUGCCAACAGAGGUCGGUGCCAUCGGAUUUACGGGGCCUGUUUGUGUGACCCCGGACUUUACGGACGAUACUGCCACUUAGGUGAGUCCGCCCAGCUGUAGAAGGGGUGGCUGACUGCUGGUGUGACCCCUGGUGGCUG